AACGAACGCUGGCGGCAUGCCUAACACAUGCAAGUCGAACGGGAUCCUAGCUUGCUAGGUGAGAGUGGCGGACGGGUGAGUAACACGUGGGAACCUGCCUUUUGGUUCGGGAUAACCGCGGGAAACUGCGGCUAAUACCGAAUGCCCUCGUGAGAGGAAAGAUUUAUCGGCAAAGGAUCGGCCCGCGUUGGAUUAGCUAGUUGGUGGGGUAAUGGCCUACCAAGGCGACGAUCCAUAGCUGGUCUGAGAGGAUGAUCAGCCACAUUGGGACUGAGACACGGCCCAAACUCCUACGGGAGGCAGCAGUGGGGAAUAUUGGACAAUGGGCGCAAGCCUGAUCCAGCCAUGCCGCGUGAGUGAUGAAGGCCUUAGGGUUGUAAAGCUCUUUCACCGGAGAAGAUAAUGACGGUAUCCGGAGAAGAAGCCCCGGCUAACUUCGUGCCAGCAGCCGCGGUAAGAC
rnacentral:rRNA from 1 species